UACUCGAGUGGCGAACGGGUGAGUAACACGUGGGUGACCUGCCCUGCACUUCGGGAUAAGCUUGGGAAACUGGGUCUAAUACCGGAUAGGAACCAUCUUUAGUGUGGUGGUUGGAAAGUUUUUUCGGUGUAGGAUGAGCUCGCGGCCUAUCAGCUUGUUGGUGGGGUAAUGGCCUACCAAGGCGGCGACGGGUAGCCGGCCUGAGAGGGUGUACGGCCACAUUGGGACUGAGAUACGGCCCAG
rnacentral:rRNA from 1 species